UACGUAGGGGGCAAGCGUUGUCCGGAAUCAUUGGGCGUAAAGCGCGUGUAGGCGGCUCGAUAAGUCUGCUGUGAAAGUCCAGGGCUCAACCCUGGGAUGCCGGUGGAUACUGUCGAGCUCGAGUCCGGAAGAGGCGAGUGGAAUUCCUGGUGUAGCGGUGAAAUGCGCAGAUAUCAGGAGGAACACCAAUGGCGAAGGCAGCUCGCUGGGACGUGACUGACGCUGAGACGCGAAAGCCAGGGGAGCAAACGGG
rnacentral:rRNA from 1 species